UAAAUGACCACAGAAAUGAACUACUGGAU
rnacentral:piRNA from 1 species